GACGAACGCUGGCGGCGUGCUUAACACAUGCAAGUCGAACGGACAGGCCCUGCUUUUGUGGGGUGCUCGAGUGGCGAACGGGUGUGUAAAACGUGAGUAACCUGCCCCUGACUUUCGGAUAACUUCAGGAAACUGCGGCUCAUACCGGAUAGGAGCUCUUGCUGCAUGUUGUUGGUUGGUAAGUUUCGGCGGUUGUGGAUGGUCUCGAGGCUUCUCCGCUUGUUGGUGGGGUAGUGGAUUACCAAGGCUUUGACGGGUAGCCGGCCUUGGAGGUGGACCGGCCACAUGGGGACUGAGAUACGGCGCAGACUCGUACGGGAGGCAGCAGUGGGGAAUAUGGCAGAAUGGGCGGAAGCCAGAUGCAACAACGCCGCGUGCGGGAUGACGGCCUUCGAGGGGAAAACCGCUGUCGCCGGUGACGAAGCGUGAGUGACGGUAAUGGGUAAAAAAGCACCGGCUAACUACGUG
rnacentral:rRNA from 1 species